rnacentral:lncRNA from 1 species
AUGACUUCAUCUUCUGUGGGUUUGGCCAUGGAAGAAGUUAAAUUCUCUCAGUGAUUUUGUGAACUUGGCUUUCUUUAUGAUUCCUGUCUAUCUUUCCCCCAAAGGCUAGUUACUGAGCAAAUUCCUGUGAGAGCCCCCGAUGACUGUAAAAACCACCCCCUGAUAUGUAUAAUGUUCCAGACUGCAACAUGCUCAUGAAGGGAUCCAGGAAAAGACCACAUGUUGCUAAAGGGAAAAGUUCUUCUGAAGGCAGAAAUAUAGUACACCUCUGAAGAAGAAAAGACUACACCACAACUUUCAUUGCACACUGAAAGAAAGCCCAUCAAACACUCGAGAUAAAAUUAUAAUAUGUGAACAGAGAUCUUCAUCUCCUAUCCCAGAAAAACCAGAUAGCUCCUACCAUGGAGGCCACUGAUGUAAAUGACCUUAACCAAGGAAUCUAAAAGGCCACUUGUCCCCAAUACAACUGAAAGCCUUAGAGGUGCUGGUCUUCUGCAAUGAUCCAGACUUGAUCGUAUUUCCUCCCAUUUGAUAUCUCCAGGAUUUGGGCCUUGGGGAGUUCUAUGUCCUGCCUCCCAGACCCAUGUGUUUUAUGCUCUCCUCUUUAAAAUGAAGAUAGAUGACCUCUCCACCAAAUCAUGCUCUGAUAAAAUGGAGACCAACAGGUACUAAGACGUAUUAGUAUUUUGAUGAGACGUCUUACUAGGAUGUUAACAAAUAGAUUAAAGGUAUUUUGGACAAGAAAUGUGCAUCUCUGAAACAGGUUUUGUGAUAACAACACAUAUUCUAAGCACUUGCCUUCUGUGGGGUCAGGAGGACCCACCCGCUCAUAUUCUAAAUGAGGAGCAUAUCCACUACAGGAUAUCUAAAUAGAGACCCAAGAUUAUGGUGCUUUCUAAGGCAAAGCAGUGAGGAAAAACAUCCCAACUAAAAAGGCAGUUUACCCUGUAAACAGUAAUUUUCAAUUGACAUUUGACUUCAGAUAAGUUGAAACAUCUGAGCCCAAAUCCCACACCAAAUUAAAACACACAUAUAAACCACCCCCUUGGGGCUGUGACCCUUUCAGAGAUGGAGUGCUCGCACCAGCAUUCUUUGAAACAACCCAGGGAGC